rnacentral:sRNA from 1 species
CUUGGUCAUUUAGAGGAAGUAAAAGUCGUAACAAGGUUUCCGUAGGUGAACCUGCGGAAGGAUCAUUACCGAGUUCAUGCCCUCACGGGUAGAUCUCCCACCCUUUGUAUACCAUACCUUUGUUGCUUUGGCGGGCCGCCUAGCUACUGGCUUCGGCUGGUAAGUGCCCGCCAGAGGACCCAAAACCCUGAAUAUUAGUGUCGUCUGAGUAAAAUUUUAAUAUUUAAAACUUUCAACAACGGAUCUCUUGGCUCUGGCAUCGAUGAAGAACGCAGCGAAAUGCGAUAAGUAAUGUGAAUUGCAGAAUUCAGUGAAUCAUCGAAUCUUUGAACGCACAUUGCGCCCCUUGGUAUUCCGAGGGGCAUGCCUAUUCGAGCGUCAUUAUCACCCCUCAAGCUUCGGCUUGGUGUUGAGGCCUGCUGUAAAGGCACCCUCUAAAAUCAGUGGCAGUGCUGUCAGGCUCUAAGCGUAGUAAUUUCAUCGCUAUAGGGUCCUGGUGGAUACUCGUCAAAACCCCCCCAUUUUUUAAUGAUUGACCUCGGAUUAGGUAGGGAUACCCGCUGAACUUAAGCAUAUCAAUAAGCGGAGGAAAAGAAACCAACAGGGAUUGCCUCAGUAACGGCGAGUGAAGCGGCAAAAGCUCAAAUUUGAAAUCUGGCUCUUUUAGGGUCCGAGUUGUAAUUUGUAGAAGAUGUUUCGGGUGUGGCUCCGGUUUAAGUUCUUUGGAAUAUUACAUCAUAGAGGGUGAGAAUCCCGUAUGUGACCGGCAGCCUUCGCCUAUGUGAAACUCUUUCGACGAGUCGAGUUGUUUGGGAAU